AUUGAACGCUGGCGGCAGGCUUAACACAUGCAAGUCGAGCGGGGGAAGGUAGCUUGCUACCGGACCUAGCGGCGGACGGGUGAGUAAUGCUUAGGAAUCUGCCUAUUAGUGGGGGACAACAUCUCGAAAGGGAUGCUAAUACCGCAUAUGUCCUACGGGAGAAAGCAGGGGGUCUUCGGACCUUGCGCUAAUAGAUGAGCCUAAGUCGGAUUAGCUAGUUGGUGGGGUAAAGGCCUACCAAGGCGACGAUCUGUAGCGGGUCUGAGAGGAUGAUCCGCCACACUGGGACUGAGACACGGCCCAGACUCCUACGGGAGGUAGCAGUGGGGAAUAUUGGACAAUGGGGGGAACCCUGAUCCAGCCAUGCCGCGUGUGUGAAGAAGGCCUUAUGGUUGUAAAGCACUUUAAGCGAGGAGGAGGCUACUCUAGUUAAUACCUAGGGAUAGUGGACGUUACUCGCAGAAUAAGCACCGGCUAACUCUGUGCCAGCCGCCGCGGUAA
rnacentral:rRNA from 1 species